rnacentral:lncRNA from 1 species
CCGCGUCUGCGGCCAGGGCUUGACCCCGGGCGCCCGCCCCCCCGCCCGUCCGCGCGCGCGGGGCCCGGUUUUGAGAGGGGCCGACGGGUCUGGCCCGGGCGGCCGGGGCCGGGGGUGCGGGGAGGUCCCGGGGCGCGCGAGCCCCCGCCCGGAGGUCCGGGCUGCAGAGCGGGCGGCGGGGCGGGCGCGCGGCGCGCACUAGGACCCAGCGGGGCUCCGGGCCCGGGUGGGAGCCGCGCCGCCGACCCCGGGCGGGCGCCGGGGCUGGAGCCGGGGUUCCGGCCGCGAUCGGCUGCAGCUCGGCCGGGAGACGGCGCGACCCGGCGGCGGGGCCCCCGGCCAGUGCAGCGCCGCCGCAGCCCCCCGAUGCGGCCGCGAGGAGCAGCGGGGGGGGGCCCCGGCGAUCGAAGCAGUCACUAGAAGCAUCAUCUCUUAGAAGACCAGCAUUCUUGUGAUGAUGGAGGUCUGUCUGUCCUGUCUGUGACUGGAGCAAUGCUGACCUCGGCUUCCUGGACCCAUUCCGACUCAGGUACCCAGGCUCUGUCUUCCCCUGCUCACCUGCACCUCGGGGAGAUUGCACCAAAUAAGUGAAAUACCAAAGCUGAAUUUAAAUGCAAAUGCCAAAUUGAUUGUUUUCUUCAUCAAUUGGUAUCCUCCCCAAUCUUCUUAAUGAUUAAUUUAUGCAGCUGAUCAGACUGACAAUGUGGUCAAUCCAAUUUAGGCAUUAAGAUAAUGAAAACAUUCAAUCACAUCUUUAUUUAAAAUUUUGGUGUGUGUCCUAGACACACAAAGCAAGAGAAACACUGCUGGGAAUUGUCAUCUAGAAACUACCUUCUAUCGUAGUUCCUCUAAAUCAGUUUCUUUCCCAUAAUACCAUGUGUUUCUUGAAUUAUAUUAAUCUUUCUAAUCUUGUACCUUUUGAUUGAAUUCAGUAAGUAUUUUUGAGUGUCUGUUAUAUGUUCUUGAGACAGAUGGGAAUCAAAAAAAUAUAUAUAAGACGCAGAUCUGUCCUUAUAGAGUCACGGCUUAGCCAAAAAUCCAUGACUCAAGGAAAUGGCAGAUGGUAGUGGUCAGUUUAGGGCCAGGGCUGUGUACUAAUUAAUGGUAGCUCUCUGGUUUAGGGAAUUGAGAGACUUUGAGGAUUGGUAUUGAAAUAGUUAGGGAAGAAUCUGUGGAAGAGAGAGGGCCUCUGGGGGUGGGGGAGGCCCCCCCAUUUUUUUUUUUUGCUGUGGAUGUUUUGGCCGGGUGGAGGAAAGAAGAGCAACAUGGUGCCUGGAUAAGAUGGUGGAAAUGAGCCCACUGGGAGCCUGGGCAGUGAGAGCCCUAAGUGUGUGGAGCAGAUGGGGUUGAGAGGACCCUGAUGCCCUGUCCCAGCCAGAGCCAGCUUCCCCCUCAGAGCCUGGGUGCCUGAAGGUUUCCCUGGGGAAGUCCCAGCUGCCCUGCUACAGAGGCGCCUUGCUUGGUUGGCAGCUUUCUUCAUGAAGGGACCGUGGUCACUGUCAUCCCGCCCCUGGCUUGGUUGCUACAAAGCUGGCCUUUCUACUUCUUCGGGUUUAUCCACAUCUGGCCUUUGCCUGUCUACCUGAUUAUUUACUCUUCUCUUACACACCUGCACCGCACCGCCCCCCCCCAAGCUCUGCUUGGCAGGUGUGGCUUGACAAGGCCUCAGGGAUAAACCAGAGGCCGUGUGAGGUCAGUAGCUCGGUGAUUCACAAGGCGCGAUUCAGAGUCGGGAAGUUGAAGGGUAGUAGGCAGAAGCCAAGAACGUGAGUUUGUAAGUCGAUGCCGAGAGUUCUGGAAGCCAGAAUUCAGUGAGGGUCCUGGGGCUGGAGCUGAGCCCACAGUCAGGGAUGGGGAGCCAAAUGCGCUGAUUAAUUCUGGGAUAGCCCAGCAAAUCAUGCCCACGCCGACCUCUUUUCCACUGCUGCUUUUGGAUAAAGCAGUGGUGGCUUUCGCUGCCUUGGGUCUUAAAGAUGCUACUGAGAGUUGCCUGCCCAGACUCCUGCCCAUCCUGUCAGGCCUGUCCUGGCUGUGAUCCACUGGCAGGCUCCGGUGCUCCUGCUUUGCUGACCUA